AAUAAUCUUGUAAAUCGUAUAAAUUCGAUAAUUGGUUCGAAAGUUUCUACCUCACACCGUAAAUGUGAGACUACGAUAGAUAAACUUA
rnacentral:ncRNA from 1 species